UAAAUAUUAGCAUAGAGAGAGUGCCAUUCAGAGCGAAGUGACGACACCAUCUUUUUUAUUUGGAUUAGUGCUGUUUCACUCUUACGCAUAGUAAAGCUGCUACAGUUGUCCUCGUCUUCCGUGCCUAUAUUCACACUGAAUGUCAUUAUAGAUUCUCGAUACAAUCAUAGAGUUAAAUAUUAGCAUAGAGAGAGUGUCAUUCAGAGCGAAGUGACGACACCAUCUUUUUUCUUUGGAUUAGUGCUGUUUCACUCUUACGCAUAGUAAAGCUGCUACAGUUGUCCUCCUCUUCCGUGUCUAUAUUGACACUGAAUGUCAUCGAGAUUUUCGAUACAAUGUGUUAGAAAGAGAUGCAGCAAACCAGUCCAUGAGAUCUUGUCGUCAGGAAGCGCGGAAGGUAGGCUCCCUCUAUGUUAAUAUAUACCUCUAUGGAUACAAUGUGUUAGAAGGAGAUGCAGCAAGCCAGUCCCUGAGAUCUUGUCGUCAGGAAGCGCGGAAGGUAGGCUCCCUCUAUGUUAAUAUAUACCUCUAUGAUCUCAAUAUUUGACACAAAUUUGACAAUUGACAGAUUAUCUUUUAAAAAUAAAUGUAAAUAGUUAUCCUGAACAAAACAAAGUCGGGAACAAUGAACAAUGGAUUAAUGGAUAUGUAAAAGCCAUAAGGAGAACAGAACUAAAAUUAAAAUAUGAAAGAAUAUGCAAUAAACAUUGUAUAAAAGUGGAAAGCUAGCCACUUUAAAAAGAUAUUCCAAACUAAAACAUGGGUUACCAAAGCAGGCAAUAAAAAGAAAAGGUGAUCUAAAAUGAAAGAGAAGAGCUGAUGAAAGCAGUAAAUGUAAAAAAUAAUGAAGAGACUUCUCUAGACCAUGAACAAACACCAGCUAUUUUAUAUAUGUAGAAAAUGGAAAAACUGCUGAAACUUUACUUUAAAGGCUUUUGACUAGUGAAGAUUUGGAUAAACAACAGGAGUUACUUUGAGCUAUAGCUACAUGCAAAUUUAUUUUCUUGUGGCUUCCUAUGUUUAUUCUUAUUAACUAUAUCUACACUUUGAUAUGUUUUUAGUCGCAUGAAGAUUUUAUAGUUUAUUAUUUUAUGUAUAUUGUUAUAUUUGUGUUGAAUAAACAUUAUUAUUAUUAUUA